CUACCCACAGGAAGAGAAGAAGGGAGUUCAGACGUACCGAGUUCACCGCGGAGAGCAAGGGAAGAGCUGGGGAUGGAAGGGCCUGGAGUAGCACGGCCUUUUAUACGCUCCCCUGGGGCUCUGGGCCGCAGUAUAAAAGUGGCCCAACUGCCAGCUCCUCCAUCCUCUCCUCGCGCCUUCCUCUGCUCCGGGAAGUUGUGGCUGCUGUCUUCAGGAGCCUGUUGCGUUGUGCUCAGCCACGUCCCCUCCUGAGAGCAGGGUGAGAGGAGCCCCACCUGGCAAGACCAGGGCGCUCCAGGGCAGGGCGUUUGGCUGCGUGAACAGAUGGGUGCUGGUACCAGGGCUGAUGGCCAGGAAGUGCAGAGCCGAUUCCAAGGAGAGGGAACCUCCUGAUCCGCAAGAGAAAAUCUUUCCCUGCCUAAGGCCACAGCGUCAAGGCUGUGCUCAACCCACCUGAAAACCCCAGCAUCCGUAUUCCCAUUCUGGGAAGGGGCUUAAUGAGGA